GAUGAACGUUGGCGGUGUGCCUAAUACAUGCAAGUCGAACGGAGACUGUAGCAAUACUGUCUUAGUGGCGAACGGGUGAGUAACGCGUUGGUGAUCUGCCUCGAAGUGUGGAAUAACCUCCCGAAAGGGAAGCUAAUACCGCAUAGUCUCUCAAGGUUUAGAAAAUUGAGAGUAAAGGAUUUAUUCGCUUCGAGAGGAGCCUGCGUCCCAUCAGCUAGUUGGUAGGGUAACGGCCUACCAAGGCAAUGACGGGUAGGGGACCUGAGAGGGUGGCCCCCCACAAUGGAACUGAAACACGGUCCAUACACCUACGGGUGGCAGCAGUAGGGAAUAUUAGUAAUGGGCGAAAGCCUGAACUAGCAACGCCGCGUGUGCGAAGAAGGCCUUCGGGUCGUAAAGCACUUUUUGAGAGGAUGAGGAAGGACGGUACUCUCAGAAUAAGUCUCGGCUAACUACGUG
rnacentral:rRNA from 1 species